GAUGAACGCUGGCGGCGUGCUUAACACAUGCAAGUCGAACGGAAAGGCCCAAGCUUGCUUGGGUACUCGAGUGGCGAACGGGUGAGUAACACGUGGGUGAUCUGCCCUGCACUUCGGGAUAAGCCUGGGGAACUGGGUCUAAUACCGGAUAGGACCACAUUUUGGAUGGUGUGGUGGAAAGUUUUUCGGUGUGGGAUGAGCUCGCGGCCUAUCAGCUUGUUGGUGGGGUAAUGGCCUACCAAGGCGUCGACGGGUAGCCGGCCUGAGAGGGUGUACGGCCACAUUGGGACUGAGGGACGGCCCAGGCCGCGACGGGGGGGAACAGUGGGGAAUAUUGCACAAUGGGCGCAAGGCGGAUGCAGAGACGCCGCGUGGGGGAUGACGGCCUUCGGGUUGUAAACUCCUUUCGCUAGGGACGAAGCGUUAUGUGACGGUACCUGGAGAAGAAGCACCGGCUAACUACGUG
rnacentral:rRNA from 1 species